UGCUGCCGGUGUGUAGUGGUAGCACGCGUCCCCAGUAUGGAUGGAAAGCGGGUUCGACUCCCGCCCGAGGUGGCAU